CUACGGGGUGCUCCAGUGGGGAAUAUUGGACAAUGGGGGAAACCCUGAUCCAGCAAUGCCGCGUGUGCGAAGAAGGCCUGCGGGUUGUAAAGCACUUUCGGUUGGGAGGACUGCUUCUAGCACUAAUAUUGUUGGAAGUUGACGUUACCUUCAGAAGAAGCACCGGCUAACUCCGUGCCAGCAGCCGUCGGUAAUACGGAGGGUGCAAGCGUUAAUCGGAAUUACUGGGCGUAAAGCGCGCGUAGGCGGCUAGAUCAGUCGGGUGUGAAAGCCCCGGGCUUAACCUGGGAACUGCAUCCGAUACUGUCUAGCUUGAGUACAGGAGAGGAGAGUGGAAUUCCACAUGUAGCGGUGAAAUGCGUAGAUAUGUGGAGGAACACCAAUGGCGAAGGCAGCUCUCUGGCCUGAUACUGACGCUGAGGUGCGAAAGCGUGGGGAGCAAACAGGAUUAGAUACCCGUGUAGUC
rnacentral:rRNA from 1 species